GACGGAGGGUGCUAGCGUUGUUCGGAAUCACUGGGCGUAAAGGGCGCGCAGGCGGCCGUCUGCGUCGGACGUGAAAGCCCGGGGCUCAACCCCGGAACGGCGUCCGAUACGGGGCGGCUCGAGGCCGGGAGAGGGGGGUGGAAUACCCAGUGUAGAGGUGAAAUUCGUAGAUAUUGGGUGGAACACCGGUGGCGAAAGCGGCCCCCUGGCCCGGUCCUGACGCUGAGGCGCGAAAGCGUGGGGAGCAAACAGG
rnacentral:rRNA from 1 species